GCUGGGUUUGAAGGUAUUUCUGAAGAGUGAGGAUGAAGAUGAAGAUCCCGGUCGAGAUGAAGAUGGUUUAGGCGGCUCUAAAAUCAGAUCUGAACUUCUGUACGUGUAAGUGAAAAUAAAAGUCCUCCUCACUUCUUCUAAUCUGCUCUUUAAUGUCCUGACUUAUUCAAAUGUUCCUGUCACAGUUUGUCCUCACAUCCUCCUCUCUGCUCUCCUAACCAGACCUCUUUAAGACUCAUUACUGUCCACUCACAGUCACUGUGUGUGUGUGUGUGUGUGUGUGUGUCCUCCCCAUCCUAACACACCUGUGCUGCUGCUGCAGGCUCACAGCGGUCCGUGUUCCCUCCUAAUGAAUAGUGAAUGUUGAUGUCAGUCUUAAUCAGGAGGAGCAGCAGGGAGACGGACCAGGAAGAACCGGGUGGAGGAGGAAGAGUUCAGGACGGAGCAGGAGGACUUUGGUUCUCCUCCUCGAUCUAC